AUUGAACGCUGGCGGCAGGCCUAACACAUGCAAGUCGAGCGGAGCGGCGGACGGGUGAGUAAUGCCUAGGAAUCUGCCUGGUAGUGGGGGAUAACGUCCGGAAACGGGCGCUAAUACCGCAUACUAUCAGAUGAGCCUAGGUCGGAUUAGCUAGUUGGUGGGGUAAAGGCCUACCAAGGCGACGAUCCGUAACUGGUCUGAGAGGAUGAUCAGUCACACUGGAACUGAGACACGGUCCAGACUCCUACGGGAGGCAGCAGUGGGGAAUAUUGGACAAUGGGCGAAAGCCUGAUCCAGCCAUGCCGCGUGAAUGAAGAAGGCCUUCGGGUUGUAAAGUUCUUUCGGUGACGAGGCGUUAAUCACAGAAGAAGCACCGGCUAACUCCGUGCCAGCAGCCGCGGUAAUAC
rnacentral:rRNA from 1 species